UGGGGAAUAUUGGACAAUGGGCGCAAGCCUGAUCCAGCCAUGCCGCGUGAGUGAUGAAGGCCUUAGGGUUGUAAAGCUCUUUCACCGGUGAAGAUAAUGACGGUAACCGGAGAAGAAGCCCCGGCUAACUUCGUGCCAGCAGCCGCGGUAAUACGAAGGGGGCUAGCGUUGUUCGGAUUUACUGGGCGUAAAGCGCACGUAGGCGGAUCGAUCAGUCAGGGGUGAAAUCCCAGGGCUCAACCCUGGAACUGCCUUUGAUACUGUCGAUCUGGAGUAUGGAAGAGGUGAGUGGAAUUCCGAGUGUAGAGGUGAAAUUCGUAGAUAUUCGGAGGAACACCAGUGGCGAAGGCGGCUCACUGGUCCAUUACUGACGCUGAGGUGCGAAAGCGUGGGGAGCAAACAGGAUUAGAUACC
rnacentral:rRNA from 1 species